rnacentral:lncRNA from 1 species
UGUCCUCUGAAGGGGCGGCGCAUGGGCGUCCCCCGCCCUGCUAGCCCCAUCUCCUUCCCUGUCCCUGCUUGGGCAGGAGGCCCAAGCCCUGACAACAGAGGUGAGAGAGGCUGUGCCAGCCCUUCUCUGGGCAUGUCUGGGCUCAAGGGCCAGGCUCUGUCUCCAGUCUAGGGCCAAGCUGGGGCCUGUGGCAGGAUCAGAUAGAGGCAAAACAUUGAUGAGGCAGGGGGACGGACAAAAUGGGCCUUCCAGAGGUGCUCUCAGACCCUCCCAGCCACACUACAGCCGCAGAGCCCUCCGCUCACAAACCAUCCUGGCCUCAUCAGAACCUGGGGAGGGUUCCUAGUUGUGCAGGGGGUUCCCUGUACGUACCCCUUUCCCUCCAGCACUGGAGCCCGAGUCUCCCGCUGAGCAGGCACCUCUCCCUCCACGCCCAGGCUUCUUAAACCAACCCCUCCUCCCCUUGUCAUUCAUGAACCAGAUGCAGAAACUGAGGCUCAGAAGCGUUCGGCCACGUGCAUGCAUUGCCUUUCCCAUUGGUGCUCCAUCGCCAGUAAUGGAUAAGUAAUAAGUAAUAAGGUGCAUUGGAAAUUCAAAUUUCAGAAUAAGCUGACUGCCAAGAGGGCCCUCCCCCUGUCGGGAGUCCCUUAGUCCAUGGGAAAUUCACAGAGAAGGAAACAGUCACUUUUCCUGCACCUGAGAAGGUGAUUCUGACUCUCCUGGAACCUGAGAACCACCAGUCUACGGGAACAGAGCCCUGCUUUGGGUCAGGAAGCGAGGAGCGCCUCUUCCCCGCCGCCAUCCCAUCUAGG